GUGGCUUAAUGGCUAAGUGCUUGGCUGCAAACUAAAAGGUUGGUGGUUCAAACCCACCC
rnacentral:tRNA from 1 species